rnacentral:lncRNA from 1 species
GCCAAAGCAAGAACAAAGGAAGAAAAAGGAAGAACAAGAACCCUAGGGUAAAAAUUCAAGAGAAAAUUGGUGGAUUUCAAGUAAUCAAGCAAUCAAAGGUAAAAUUUCUUGAUUUUCACUUGUGAUCUACCUUUCCCAUGCAUUUUUUUGCAUUUUCCAUGGUUGAAUCACAAGAUACCAUGAAGGAUAGUGUGCUGAUCAAACCCUAGGAGAGAGGUUUUGAUACUUAAUUUGGUUAGAUUUCAAUGUGUUUCAGUGUUUUUAGCUGACUGGUGAUGUGUAGCAUGAAAGUCAAGCAAGAAAAAUUCAUGUUCUCGCAUCACCCAUCAUUGGCCGAAUUCUCCAUGUAGAAUAUUGAUGAUGAUUUUGUUUUUAUUUCAAGUGAUUUGGUUAGGAAUUAGUGAUUUAUGGUGUGAGAAUCAAGUAGGAAAAAUUAUAGUGUUGAUGCACCCACCAUGGCCGAAUUUUCCAAGAGAAAAUGUAAGGAUGAUUUUGCCAUAUUUCAAGUUAUUUAAUUUGUGUUUGAUGAUUUGGAGUAUUGGGAGAAAAAUGAAAUUAUUGGAGUUGAAUUGGACGUAUUGGCCAAUUAAUCGAGUGAUAGAUUGACUUAGGCCAAUACCGUUUAAUUGAGGUACACAAUUGAAUUUAUGUAGAACACCAUGUUUAGACAAUAAUCCGAACAAUUUGCGUCCCAUUUCAUACAUUAGUAUAAAGCUUGAGUUGGUUUUAUAACAAUUUAGCACAAUGUAGUAAAUGGCUUAUUGUGCAUUAUGUCUAGGUGGUGAGCAUUCUGGCAAAAGUAAAGAGAUAGUACCUGAGGAUCAAGAAUCGGAGUACUUGGAAUUCGACUCCCAAAAUAGUGAGUAACCUUAUCAUCAUUGUAAUUAUCUAAACUACGUUUUAUUCGAUUUUGUGAAUUUUAUGAAAAAUGAAUUAAAUGAUUAAUUUUUUGAUUUUAUAAACAAAAUGUGAUUUAAUGAAAUGAUUUCAUAAAAUUGUUUUAAAAUUGAAUGAUGGUUUGAAAAUAGAGUAAUUGGAGACUGUUUUUGUGUGUUGCAAAUUCAUGAUUCGAAUUGAUUGGCUUAUGGCAAUAUUGUCAUGAAUGGUUGAUUUGAUAAAUGUGUUGGAAAUGUAUAAAUAGUUGAUUUGCCUUAAAAGGCCAUAAAAUAAAAUAAAAUAAUUGCCAUGUCAUGGUAUUACAAAUUUUAUUGUAUGGUGGGUUUAGUUUGCUGCAGUGGGCGGGUUUUCUGUGGACCAGCCUAUUAGAGGGGCAUGGAAUCCCGUUAUAUUUUACCUCGGUUGGAGAGGUGAGUAAGGUAACUCCUGAUGUAUAACUUUUAGAGUUCACUUCACACCAAACCACCACGUGAGGGUGAACUCAGCCAACGCUAAGAAAUGGCUAUAUUUUCAAAAUAAAAACAUGAUUUAUACAUACAUAACUUUUUAACAGCCUUGGCAGACUCGGUUGGGAUAGCCUUCGAUCAAGGUAUCCCUAAUAACUAAGUAUGAGAAUGAUUUUGGCACAAGCCAAAGUUUUAAGAAAUUCAUAAGCCAUGUUGAUUACUCGAUUUAUAUAAAUUGAUUUUAUUUGGUUGAAACAAGUUGAAAGGUGAUGAAUUACAGUAUGUUAAACUAUUUUAUCUGUCUCCAUUUACUUGGCUUUAGAUAUUUUAGAUGGUAUUUGUUUACUCACUAGGAUUAUAUAAUCUUACCACCCUCCUUUCCACUCAUUUCAGGCUCAGAAUAGGCUGUAGAUAGCUGAUUUUAUCGAGGCUACCAUUGGAUUUGCAUUCUCCAAACUGUAGGUUCACAGUCUUCAUUACUUUUAGUUAUUCGGGAGCCCACUGGUUAUUGUAAAUUAAAUUAAAUAUUUUGGCUUACUGCAUUGCAGUAUGUAUGAAUUUACUUUGCUUUUACGCUGCUACAAAAAAAUUAUUUACAUAUAACUCUAAAAAUAUUAUUUUAUAAAAAAAUAAAAUAUUUUAUUAAAUAUUUCUUUUAUUAUUUAUUAUAUCCAAAUAAUCAUAAUUUCAUUUUAAAUGAAGGUUUUAGUUGUUUAAACUUAUUUUUGAUUAUGAAUUAUGUGUUUUGUACUGGCAUACUACAUUUUUAACGGAUUUCGAGAUUUUUGAGAAAAAAUGACCAAAAUGCCUUUGUGAGAAAAAAAUUGUUUUUCUAUUGUUUUGAUUUAAAAAUAGUUUAUGAUCUCUCAAAACAUAAUUUUAGUGACUAAUACUCAUAGGGGAAGUGAGAAAAAUUAACGUUAAGCCUUACGAGGUUUCGAUUGACAUUCCGGGUAAUGAAUGUCUAUCGGGACGUCGCGGCGGUUGUCAUGAGCUCAAUCGGAGUUCCGAGUCGUGACAAAAACCUUUAAGCAUUUUGAGCAUUUUGGAGGGGUUUUUGAUACAUGAAGAAAAACAUUUGAGCGUUAGAGCGUUUUAAGUAUUUUUGAGUGGCUUUUCAUAAAUGAAGAAAAACCUUUGAGCAUUUUGAGCAUUCUUCACCAAGUAGGCAUAUUUGUUGAUUAUAUUGUUAAAGGAAUAUGGUGUGUUUUUUGAAGUUGUUGAUUUUGUUAAAUGGAAUUAAGUAGUUUCGGGGGUUUUUUAAGUAUUACGUUAUCAAUUUUUGAGAAUUGCGUGACUAGUUUUUAGGCAUUGCGUGACUAAUAUUUAGGUAUUACGUGACUAAUUGAUAUGGCAUUGCGUGACUAGUUAGUAAGGCAUUGCGUGAUUGGUUAGUAAGGCAUUGCAUGACUAGUUAGUAAGGCAUUGUGUGACUAGUUUUUAGGCAUCGUGUGACUUAGGCAUUACCUAAAAAUCAAUCACGUAAUGUCUAAAAACUAGUCACAUAAUGCCUAAGAACCAAAAGGCAAUGAUUAAGUCACGCAAUGCCUAAAAACUAGUCUCACAAUAUCUAAAAACUAGUGACAUAAUGUCUAAAAACUAGUAAUGCAAUACGUAAUAACUAAUUGAUUUGGUUGCUUCAGCCAAGUUUAAGUUACGAAAGUCAUACAGUGUUUUAAUUUACAGAUAUGUCUAAUCAAUUUCAACCCUUUAACUUUGGGGUUCUAUGAAUAUAAACCAAUAAACCCAAGAACCUAAAACACAUACCUUGAUGUCAUUUCUGCUCUUUGGGAUAAUGAGAAAGAGCUGGAUGGCGAGAUAGAUAGUAUUUGGCAAAUGAGAGAAAUUACGAUUUAAUUUUGAAAUUUUUGUUUGGAUGGCGGGAUAGAGAAAAUUGAAACCAUUUUAAUUUGUCUGAAAUUGCUUAAAGGGUGUUGGUAGGUGGGUGAUAACUCUAUGAUAUAGAGUUAUUUGAGCUUAAUUUUAAUAGUAAUUUAGCUUAGUUCUUAUAGUAAUGCAUAAAAAUUAAUAAAUUUUAUUUAAUUAUUUUAAAUUAGUUAAUUUAGGUGAGUCAACCUAAUCAUAGUUAAUUUUAUGCUUAACCGGUGUUAAUGUGAUUAAGAUAGGUUGUUAUUAAUUUAUUUGUGCUUUUGUAGGUGUUUAAUGAAUGAAGAAUUUUAAUGGAAAAAGGAGAGCAAUUUUGAGGUGCAGACUUUCACUGCAUAUGUUUUGGUAUUUUGACCAUAACUUUCUUUACAGAUAUUCAAAUGAAGUGAUUAUUGAACCAUUGGAAAGAUAAGAAACAAAGAUACAACUUUCAUGUUUAUCACUUUGCCCAAUUUGGCAUGUAAGAUGGUCAAAAAUCUUGUCAAAAUUGACAUACUGCAGCAGUCCUAGAGCAAUUAUGAUUUCUGUUAAUUAAUUGGACAAGGCUACGACCCACAUAAUCUGAUAAACAAAUUCCAGCUGAAAUUGACUUCUUUCUUCACCUAACUUUGGUUAAUUUCAAAGCCUUAUAAAAACAACCUUUUGGAGGAGAAGAGAAGAGAACAAAUCACUAGAUUAAAAGUUAAGAGUCCAACCGUAAAGUCAUUAAAGGUGAGAAGAAUGUGAAGGAUUUAAGAAAACUUGGAAGAUCAAGAUUAUAAUUUUUGAGUUUUAUCUUUUUUAUUAUUCUUUUAUUUUCUUAGUUUGUUUUUAUUGUUUAAACUUUAUUCAAUGAUGAUGUGUGACUUGAUG